AUGGGGGACGUAUACGUCACUUCACCUACAUUUGUUGGACAUGAUACUGGUUCAAUUCUAGCAAUCGACUGUCAUCCAAGUGGGAAAAAGUUUAUCACAUGCGGACAGAAAGCUAGAACUAGCAAUGGUUUGGUAGUUGUGUGGAAUGCGGAACCAGUGCUCGACAAGAAAAAAGCAUCGAAUGAAAAUGUUCCCAAGUUAUUAUUUCAAGUCGAAUCACAGUCACAAUCAAAUUCGUGUCGAUGGUCGCCUGAUGGAAAACGUUUCGCAUUUGGAUCCGACGAUUCAUCAGUUUCUGUUUGGGAAUAUGUUGGACUUAUCAACUCAAUGGGAUCAAUCACUGGCGGUGCUCAAAAUGUGGAAAGAUACAAAGAAUGUUGUGUAUUAAGAGGACAUUCGAUGGAAGUUCUAACAGUUGAAUGGUCACCAAAUGGAAAAUACCUUGCAAGUGGAUCUAUUGAUUAUCGAAUUAUUAUUUAUAAUGCUCGAAAACUGCCCGAUCGAAUCACAGUUUUAAAUGAUAUACAAUUGCCAGUAAAAGGAUUAUCAUGGGAUCCAAUUGGAAAAUAUUUGGCUAGUCUGGAAGGAGACAAAAAGCUCAGAUUUUGGGCAACGGAUAGUUGGCAGUGUGUGAAAAGUGUCACAGAACCAUUUGAAAGUAACAUAGAAGAGACAAUGUUAACUCGAUUGGAUUGGUCUCCAGAUGGAAAAUAUUUAAUGACUCCGGCAGCAGUUCGAAGUGGAAAACCACUGAUCAAGUUGAUUCAGAGACAAACGUGGAAAUCUGAUCAAUUUCUUGCUGGACAUCACAAAGGAACCACGUGUGUUCGUGCAAUGCCACGUUUAAUUGAAGCUAACCUGAAAAAUGGAAAACGAAUGCAAUUGACGUGUGCCGCAGUUGGAUCGAGAGAUAAAUCCAUUAGUAUUUGGGUUUUUCCUGGAACAUUAAAGCCUCUUUUCGUCAUCAACAAUAUUUUCAAUCACACAGUUAUGGAUUUUGCAUGGUGUGGAAGAAAUUUGCUCGCUUGUUCACAAGACGGAACUGUAAAAGUUAUACAUUUGUCGGAGAGUGUCAUUGGAGAAAUGAUUAGUAAUGAAGCUAUGAGCGACCUCUGUUAUCAAAUCUACUCAAUUCGUCCUCCUCGAUACGAAUUAACGGAUAAAGAAGAAGAUGAAAGUCAAGAUUCAUUCAAUUUAUCUGAUCUUUCAUCAUCAGCUAACAAUGCAUCAUUUGUGACAUGCCCCGAAGAUGUCUUGAUUAAGAGAAAGAAACUCGUGGCUGCUCAACAAUCAUCUGACAUUCAAUUAACAAAAUCGAUGGAGGAUAAUUCGAAGGAAAACGAAUCGAAAAAUUCUGAAAAGACAAUGAUGGAAGAAAGAAAUAAGCAGAUUGAUGUUCGAAAAGAUGGAAAACGAAGAAUUCAACCAGUUUUCUGUGGUACAACUACUGCAGAUCCAAUGACAAGUUUAUCAUCAGAAGGGAAAAAGACUGUAGCACCACCACCUGCAAAACGAAAAGCUUUAGCUCCAGCAGUACCAGCGAAAAAGGGCGAAGUUGAUUUGGAAGAUUCUUCAGAUUCUGAUGAUGACGACGAAGAGGAAGAGGAAGAUAUGGAAAUAUCAGAUAUUGAAUCUGUUAGAAAUAAAAAACGAAAAGUUCCAGCAACUACAAGCCAACCAAUGUUAGCUCUUGAUUUGAAGAAGCCUGCUCUGAGACCAAUGGAACCAAAAAGUUUGAAAACUCAAGAAGGUACAGUACUCAUGGAAGCUCCCGAACAACAACCAAAACUCAGCCAACAUGUUGUUGAUAGAAAAGGAAUGUUCGUAGAAAUUGAUAAUCGAUGGAAGCAUGGAGGUGUUGAGACAACACAAAUUAAAUUGAUUAAAAAGAAACAACAAACCGCGGAAAAUGAAGAUGAUAUGAUGGAUGGAGAGAGAAGAGUUAAUCACGAAUGUCUGUGGAUGGCCGUUCUCGGUUCUCCCGUUAUUAUUGUGGCCGCGAAUAAGUAAGGAACUAAUAAAUAGAAAAAUUUGUGAAAAAAAAACAAAAAAAAAUCGCUUUUAGUUUCAAUUUGAAACUUUAAUAUUUUUGAGCUCAAAACGUAAUUAUUAUAGAAAAAAAAACGCACAAAAUAUUUUGAAAUAUAUUAACGACAACGACUGCAAAAUAUGAAAAUGCGAGAUUUUAUUGGAUUUGUUAGUUUCAAAAACAUGAUGAAACAUUUUCGGAACAGAUUUUCUGUUAUUUCUGUUUUAUAAAUUUAGACCUUUUAUGGAAUUUUAUUUAAAUGGAACUUUUCUUACAGACACAAUGUGGUACUCGGAUGUGGUGAUAAGUGCCUACGUGUCUAUCGAACAUUUUGUGGUACACACAUUGUUUCCCUCCGUCUCGAUUCUCUUCCUGUAUUGAUAGGAGUUACAGAGCAUGCUGCAUAUGCUCUAACUGAAAAUGGAAGGCUUUCCACGUGGAAUCUGAAAUUGGGAAAAGCAGUCGUAACACGACAACCGCUAUUUGAUUGUGUUGAAGCUUCAACUGACAAUUCGUUGAUUAGUGCAGAUGUAUCUGAAACUGGAGUUCCAUUGAUAGUUUUCUCGAAUGGAUCCAUUUUUACAUUCAAUGUUUCACUUUCGUGUUGGAUUCAAGCAAUAACUACAAAUGUACUUGGACGUUUAACAUCUCCAAUAUCAGAUGCUCAAUUAUCAUGUUCAAAUGGAACAACGAAUUCCGCCGGACCACUGGUCAGAUUGUUGAAACGGAUGAGAAAACAAGCAACAGCUCCAGGAGUUGCACCACAAGUAGUUAAAGCUGUUAAAGAAUCUCAACUUGAACAGCUUCUUCAUUGUGCAGAACAACUUGGAAAUCCACAAGACUAUCAGACAAUGCUAAUGUUAUAUGUCGAGACAUUAUGUGAAGGAGGAAGUGAAAAGAAGCUCAAAAAUAUACUGAAUGAUCUAUCGAGAAGUGGAGCACCAAUGCAAGUAUGUGGACUCCGUCGUUCGGCUCUCUAUGAUGACGUCACUCGAAUGAUUAAGCUAAAGCAGCCAGCUAUUGCAGCAAGAAUUGUCGCUGGUGUAGCGGCAAGUACAACAACUAAAUCUCUUUUUUAA